CUUUCUUCGAGCCUGGAGGAUUUAUGGAUUUAUGUUUCCUCCUUAAAACAAAUGACCCAAGCACUUUUUUUGGGGGGGGGCACUGACGCUAAUCAAUUACCUUUGUUACUAAAGAAAUAAAUAAUCUCUACAGAGUAAUAGAGUUAAAAUGCACUAGGAUCUAGUGUUUGGGGUUAUGUGAGACUUUUUGUUUGUUUGCUUUUGUCUCUCUACAGCUGCGCUUUGGCUAAUUUCUAGUUAUGGAGUAAUUUUUCCUUUUGCCACGAGUCCUGAUCCACAGGAGACAAGUCAGAAUGUCAGGGCCGGAAGGGACCUUGGAAAACUUAUUAUGAAUAUCUUGGUUGUUUUGAGCUACAUUAAGUCUUUAUUUCCCAUUCGCUUGCCCUCCUCAUUCAACUGGCUCAAUGUCACCGAUUCUCUUCUAGAAAAUGAACUGAUGCCAAAUACAUCAGAUUUCGUCAAGUCUGCUCUGUGAGUGUAUAUUGUAUCUUCUUUCAGUCUUUC
rnacentral:lncRNA from 1 species